CACCCUGUAGGUAGCUGCGGUCUCUGGCCCCUGCAGAAUCCUCUUCCUCCCCUGGGACGGAGGCUUUAUUUCCAAGCUGAGUAUUAAAACAAAAAGUGUUCUCCCGCACUCAAGGCAGGAGGGAUGCAAGGACCAGAAACCCAAGUGCAAUUUUGCCUCCAAGCUUUUCCAGGAUCCUCUUUUCUUCCCCCACCAGCGGCAUCCCGGGCCACCUCUUACCUUUCCACUGUCCUCCUGACUAUCCUGCAGCGCCUCCAAACUGACUGCUUAAAAUUAAGGACUUGAUAGGCAAGUCCCACCCCACCUGCCAACUCCCCAGGCUGCCAAAGCUGCGUUACCUGCUUGGACCAGACCCUCCCCCCUCCCCGCUGCUACCUGAUCUCUUGCCCGCCGGGACUGCUUUCGGCUGCCCCUGGCGCUCCCGCCUCCUAUCUUUUAGCCAAAAUCCCGCCCAAAGACAUUUCUGCUGGGCAGUGGUGCAACGCCCCCUACCCACGCCCUCGUGGCUCAGAAUCCCCCGCUCUGGACUCCAGAGACCUGCUCGCCUGACGUGAGCGGGCGGCUGAGUUUCCACAGGCGCCACCAGGGCCCUCGGGUGGACCCUCAAAGGCCCCCUAGCCACCCACGCUCUUAGGCGAGUGCUGAAAGCCGGGGCACUCACCCAGCGGGAGAGGGCAGGAGUCCGCACUGCAAGAGGCAGCAGCAGCCUGGCCUCGCACCCGGUGUUCGGGGCUGUUUUCCUCCUUCCCACUUUUCCUGAUGUACCCUGAAGAGCUUCAAUGCCGGUCCCUUAAGCUCCGCACUUCCCUGAGGGCACCACACUGUCCUCGCCAGAAGAUCUUAGCGCGUUGACCCCAGGCAGGCUCAGGAGCGAGACUCUGGGUUCCUUGGCGCGGUGCCCUCCUUCCAGUCGACAGCCGUGCUGCUGGACAAGGUUGGAGCCUUGGGCUGCAGGUACCCUACUCCCUGUCCACGCCGGGGUGCAGGAUGAGAGGCGCAAGCUGGGGCGGCGGGAAUGAGGAUUACAUAAGAAAGGAAAGUGACACCGUGGGAAGUGAAAACUGCUCUGGUCCUGGAAUCAUAAGACCUGAUUUGGAUCCUGGUUGUGUCAUGUACAAGCUGUGUGACCUUGAGCAAGUAGCUGAACAAUUUUAAGCUCCAUUUUUCUCCUCUAAAAAAAUGAUAGUUUUACAUUUUCCCAGUAUUGAUAGAAAAAAAAUAGAAUGAAUGUGGUUUUAUUAUUUCAGCUGUGACUGAUGUUAUAUACCUGCCUGCUAAGUUUCAACAAAGCCAAGAAGAGAUUGUGAAUGAGUUUUGGGAGUUGACACUAUGCUGUGAACUAACAUAUAUUCCCAUCUACUCUCUGACUACAACCUCACCCUAGCUCACUUUGCCCUUUACAGGUUGUCUUCUUUCAAUUCCUGAAACACAUCAAGGCAUACUAACCCAACCCUAGGCAUCUGCCCUGUUUUCUCCUCCUCCAAUGUCUUUGUCCUACUACUCCAUGUUGCUAUUUCUUUAAGUCAUUCAGCACUAAACCCAAGUGCAUCUUCCUUGGGGUAUCCUCCCCUAGUGUCCGAGGUACUGCUUACCACAUCAACUGGGUUCAUUUUCAUUUUUUUUUUUUUUUACUUUUUUCUAGUUGCUGUUUUCUUCAUUUGUUUGAUGUCUCUCUCUCCCAUCAUUACCAAGUAUAGAAUGUAGGCUCUAUGAGAGCAAGGACCCUGUCUUAUUCUCUGGUAUGUCCCCAAUACCUAGAACAGUACUCGUCACAUACUAGGUCCACAGUGUUUGUUGGAUGAGUGACAUGUGACAAUCUAUGUCACUAGAAGCCCAACAUGCAUUGCAGUUCUCUCCCUAGUAAAUCAGAAUGAAACCAGGUUACUUACAUGGCUUAACAUAAAAGAAAUGUAUACCCAAAAGAAAAGGUUAAUACUUCCUAUGCUCAUUAGCUUCAGAUUUGAUAUUCAAUCAUGUCCCAAGUCCUUUUGGUUUUGAUCUAAUAUCUCUCAGAUGAUUCUCUCUCUCUCUUUAAAACAUUACCAGUAACCUUUUAUGCCCAAACUCAAAUUAUUCUCCUGACUUCAUUGUCUUUCUUUCCUUCAGACUAUCCUAGAUAGUAUUAUUAAAUUUAUUGCCUUAAAAUAAUAAAGUAGCAUUGAAACAAAUACCAAAGUAUUCUCAAGUUACUUCCAUUUUCAAGAUUUAAAAUAUUCCCUUUAAAAAAAACUGUUCCAUGAAAAAUAUUUGUCAUUUUAUAACAACCAAAUUUAUAGACAAAUAAUUUUAUAUGUUAAAAGACAUGCCUGAUCCUUUCAUUUUACAAAUGAGCAAAUUGAGGCUCUGCCAUCCCUUGUCAACAGAGUUAGAAAGGAGUGGAAGAUUUCUGACCCAUAGCUAGGAUCCCCCUCCUCUAUAGGGCAUGUCUCAUUUAUGUCCUAGCCUUGUCUUCCAGAUUAUUUCCUACCUUCCCUUUAAUGUGUGCUCUACUCUAGCCAAUUUUAAUGAUUAGCAAUUCCCAAAAUAUGUCCCAUAUUAAUUUCAUUUGUUCACCUUAUUUCUCAUCCAUUAGAUGAACACCCAAAUUCCCAGCACUAAAAAUAAAAAUUAAUAUAUAGUCUGUAUUUAUAUCUAUCCCUGAGAAGUCCAAAUUACAGUGACUAGUGUGCAAGAAAAUAAAAGAAUUUCAUCAUAUUUUAUUUCAAUUUCUACUUCUUAUCCUCCCACUAACAGCAUUCUACCAUUUCUCUAAACUCCCAUUUUCCCAGAUUUGUAAUACAGCAUUUUUCACAUUCUGGUUGAUAUUUCAGCUUAGAAUUCCCCAGUACUGUCCCUGUGGAAGGGAAAGCACCCUGAGCAUUCCCCUGAUAAUGUUUUGACACCUUCAUCUACUCCGGUGAUCCAUCUCAGUCUUGCAUAUGGUAAAUAUUUAAUAGAGUUUCAAGGAGGACUAACAUUUAUUAAGAACCUACUUGAUGUGCCAGGCAACAUGCUUGGAACUUUAAGGUUAGUAUGUGUAUUACACAGCUAAAAAUACAGUGGAGCAGGAUUUCCAAAACACAUCUGCUCAUAUCCAAGGUCUCUAUUCUUUUAGACACACAGGACUGCCAGAUAAGUUAUAUAUUUUUCAAGAUGCCAUCAUAUCCCACUUUAAAUGUGAUUGAGGCUUUGACCUCUUUGUGACAUUAAGUCCAACUCCUUGAAAUUAUUUACAGAUGAAUCGAAUUCAUCUUUCCCUGUGAGGACAGCUGCUUCCAGGAUGAGGUUCUGGAGGGCAGCCAGCCCCAUGUGCCCAGGCUAGGCGGUAUGUGUAGGGUGUGCAUGGCAGAAGGCCGCCUAAUCAGUGCUCUCUGUUGAGCCAAGGUAAAGCACAUCUCAUCCUGGAAGCCUAGGUCAAAGCCGAAUGGGUCAAAGCAGGGAGAGGCACACGAUUUCAGGCCAGGACACUAAACCAGAAAAAUAUAACUGCAGAAUACACAGUCAUUUGGAGUCUAACAUUUAAAGAGAGGGUGGUAGAUUGUAAACAAACUAACAGAGUUCAUGGGGGCGGGGAGACCAAAGCUAUAUUUAAUAACAAACUACUCACAUAAGAGCAAGCUACAUUUUUAUUCUACCUAGAAAAUACUCUGGCAAUGUCUUCUUUACUUUGUCCAGAAUUACUAAUAUCAUGAAUAACUAACUUCAAAAAUGAAGGAUAAGAUUUUGUAUUUUCUACUAAAAAGGCAUGACUUUGUACAUGCACUCAUCUUAUUAUGUAACUGAACAGUGUGGGGAAAAGAGUAUUUUGAAUCAAAAAGUAAAAACCUGCCCCUGAGAAGUCCAAAUUCUAAAAAUGACUUAAUCACCCAACUGUGACAAAAGCAAGGCUUUGAACAUCUCAAUAUACCUGGAGUCUGUAUUCUCGUCAUUCACUUACUGCCACAGUGACACAUCAUGUGACAGUCUUCAUGGUCAGAAACAUUAAUUACUCUCAGAGGAAAAUAUUUUUAUAUUCUAUUUAGGAGGUUUACUCCUAAUCCUACCAUUUUCCCCAAAGUAUAAUGCAGGGACGGACCUACCUGAAAAUCUUUCAUGCUUCAAAAGGUGACAUGCUACCACGGCCACCAUAAGUUUUUCUAUAUCUGGGAAGAGGUCACUCUUUGAAAUUCUAUAUGCAAUUUUAGGAAAUAGAAUGGUGUUCCUCUUUUUUUUAACCCUCCUAAAAAAGAAUACUGAAGUUAUUUUCUCUCUUGCCAAAAAAAGAAGAAAAAAAAAUGAAAAGGAGGAAUCAGUUUGAGAUUUGAUUGCACAGACUUGAGAACAGAGGCAUUGCCAUACCAUGCCAGAUGACUCAUGAAACCUUUAAUCUUGGCUCCAAACUCUGGCCUCUGCCUGAGGAUUCAGAGAAAGGCAAUAAGCCACUGUCACUUGGAGGCCAUUUAGUUAGCAAGGUUUUCCCAACUUAAACUCUCUCUUUACUGCAAACCUGUACCUUAGAGUACUCUGGUAUUUGAAAGAAUGAGGACUUUUUAAAGAGUCUCCUGGAACUCAACAUCCUUUAAGAGAAAAUAAUUGUUUAAUCAGACCUAGAGGUUUGUUGGCAGGGCAUUAAGAACAACAACAACAAAAAGUAUCCAGUUCUUACCCAAGUCAUGCAGUUGUACUCCUGAGGAAUUAAUUGUCCUUUAAUAACCCCAGUGAAGACCCAGAUGUCAAAACAUGUACAAGAAUGUUGCUUACUUAAUACAAUAGUCAAUGUAUAUAUACACUGGCCACUGUGUCAGUAGUUGUACAGGUCAGAAAAGAAGAAGACAUCAUGCCAACAACAUGUAUUAGCAAUAAUAUUUAAUACACAGUGGUGAAUACUUACAGGAAGAGGACUGUUUUAUUAGCAGUCAGAAGAAUGAGUCCCUUUAGGGAACACUGCUCUAGCUUGUGGGAGUUUUCCAAACGUAUCAAAUUGGAAUCGCUUACAUUUUGUUCAGCACACAACUACCUCUGUUCAAGCUACUUUAUUUCAGAACUGGGACAAUAAAUUUUUGAUAACAAGAUUUCUAAAAAGAGAAGAUUUCUACACAAUUAGAAUAAAAUUAAAAAAAUAAUUUGAAUCCAUAUCUAAUAUUUAUAAAAUAGUAAUGCAACUUUUAUAUUUUUAAAAAAAUAUCUUAGGUAAUUAAGAAAGAUUGUGUGAGUGCAGCUUGUCUGGAAAGAAGAUAUUAAGAAGAAGCUGGGGCGAGAGAUUUCUUGGAAGGCAAAGCCUAGGACUAGUAAAAGGAAAGGAAAAGGAUGAGGCAGAGAGAUGCUUCAACUGGGAUACAGCUGUCACACUUGUGCUAUGGUUUGGAUAUAGUUUGAGGGUCUUUCCAAAGGGUACAUGUAUGUUGAAAUUUAAUAGCUAUUGUAUUCAGAGGGUGGAAACUUAACUUGAUUAUGGCAUUUACUUUGGGAAGUGAUGGGAUUAGAAAAGAUUAUUAAGAUGGGGACCUCAUUGAACACUAGAGGUUCCUAAGAAGGCACAGAGACCAGAGGACCAGAGGAUAUAAGUACACGUGUGAUCCUUGUCUUGUGAUCUCUCUUUGUCAUGUGAUAUCCUGGGCCUUUUCAGAACUCUUUUCAGCAAGACCACUAUCACAAGAUGCAGGCCCUUGAACCUCCAGACCUAUGAGUUAACAAACCUCUUUUCUUUAUUAUCUUAGCCUCAAGUAUGAAGUUGCAGAAACAAAGAAUGGACUAGUAUUCCCAUAUAAGAGACUCAAACUCAAUGGGGAGCUUCGGAGCAGAAGUCACCAACUUUAGGCAGAGAUGGCCUGGUCCUAAUGGCUCCCUGAGCUGUCACUGACUGAGGGCUGCUUUUGGAAGAGCAUGUAUACUGCAGCAGAUCUAAAAAAAAGUUCUGCAGUUAGAGAUGGUCAGCUAACUACACUGAAGGAUGCAUUCUUCUGGAAGGGAUAUAUUGCUAUACCUCCAUGGCUGUGAGACAAUAGAGAAAUAGAAUUUAUCAGUGUUGUUAUAGAAGUCCUUCACAAAUACCCAGAAAUGCUUCUAAAAUCUAACAAACUGAUUAUGGAUGUACACACGUAUCUUCUCUUUUCUCCUUGUACAGUCAUUCACAUGAAUCCUGUUAGCAGGGGGUAGUGUGGGAAGUGUCAUGGUCCGUAAUCAUGUUGGUCUUAGCUUUGAUUGUAGCCAGGAAGAAGGUAAGAAUAGACCCAUUUAAGUUCCUUUAUCAUCUCCUGUUAGGGUCUGUAAACAAGUCAAGAUGGUGCCUGGCAUUUUGCCAGAGGGAGUGGUUUGUGAAGUAACGCCAGUGAGCCAUUAAGUGUGGAGAUUCCUUAUUGGUUGACUGCUGUAUCUAGUUUAUGUUAAUUAAGAUAAGCUGUGUGUAAUGUAUAUAUACCCCUCCAGUCCUACAAUAAACGGCUCCCACUCUUGCUGUA